UCUACGGGCGGCUGCAGUGGUGAAUAUUGCACAAUGGGGGAAACCCUGAUGCAGCGACGCCGCGUGAGUGAAGAAGUAUCUCGGUACGUAAAGCUCUAUCAGCAGGGAAGAAAAUGACGGUACCUGACUAAGAAGCCCCGGCUAACUACGUGCCAGCAGCCGCGGUAAUACGUAGGGGGCAAGCGUUAUCCGGAUUUACUGGGUGUAAAGGGAGCGUAGACGGCAGCGCAAGUCUGGAGUGAAAUGCCGGGGCCCAACCCCGGAACUGCUUUGGAAACUGUGCAGCUCGAGUGCAGGAGAGGUAAGCGGAAUUCCUAGUGUAGCGGUGAAAUGCGUAGAUAUUAGGAGGAACACCAGUGGCGAAGGCGGCCUGCUGGGCUUUGACUGACGCUGAGGCUCGAAAGUGUGGGGAGCAAACAGGAUUAGAUACCCGGGUAGUC
rnacentral:rRNA from 1 species